GACGAACGCUGGCGGCGUGCUUAACACAUGCAAGUCGAACGCUGAAGCUUGGUGCUUGCACUGGGUGGAUGAGUGGCGAACGGGUGAGUAAUACGUGAGUAACCUGCCCUUGACUCUGGGAUAAGCCUGGGAAACUGGGUCUAAUACUGGAUACGACAUGUCACCGCAUGGUGGUGUGUGGAAAGGGUUUUACUGGUUUUGGAUGGGCUCACGGCCUAUCAGCUUGUUGGUGGGGUAAUGGCUCACCAAGGCGACGACGGGUAGCCGGCCUGAGAGGGUGACCGGCCACACUGGGACUGAGACACGGCCCAGACUCCUACGGGAGGCAGCAGUGGGGAAUAUUGCACAAUGGGCGGAAGCCUGAUGCAGCGACGCCGCGUGAGGGAUGACGGCCUACGGGUUGUAAACCUCUUUCAGCACGGAAGAAGCGAAAGUGACGGUACGUGCAGAAGAAGCGCCGGCUAACUACGUG
rnacentral:rRNA from 1 species